rnacentral:lncRNA from 1 species
UUCAUAAGGAGCCAAGUCUUCUUGGUGCACAGGCACAUGUGUGCUUUCCCCUCUGUCUCUUUCUGUCUCUUACCUUACCACCCUUCUCCUUUCCUCCCUCAGAUGCAGACCUGCAGUAAAGCAUCCUUUCACUUCUACUUCCUGGGACAUGAUCAUGGGGCCAGAACCCCUACAGCAUAA